rnacentral:rRNA from 1 species
UGUGCCUACGGGAGGCAGCAGUAGGGAAUAUUGCUCAAUGGGGGAAACCCUGAAGCAGCAACGCCGCGUGAGUGAGGAAGUAUUUCGGUAUGUAAAGCUCUAUCAGCAGGGAAUAGAAAAGAAGGUACCUGAAAAAGAAGCCCCGGCUAACUACGUGCCAGCAGCCGCGGUAAUACGUAGGGGGCAAGCGUUAUCCGGAUUUACUGGGUGUACAGGGAGCGUAGAUGGAAAGGCAAGGCAGAAGUGAAAACCCAAGGCUCAACCAUGGGACUGCUUUUGAAACUGUCAAACUAGAGUCCGGGCGA